rnacentral:pre_miRNA from 1 species
GUUUACUUGUGUACGGAUAGUGUUCAGCACCAAGGACAGGUGUUUUUCUGUGUGGAUGGUGUUCAGCACCAAGGACAGGUACGUUAACCU